CCAAUUCUGAUGUAACAGCCUUGGGAAAGAGGUUGCAGUGAAAAGCUGGUCCUGCUGUGGUGGAGAGAAUGGAGGAAAGAUAAUAAAAGGCCAAACCUUUGCUCCAACUUUCUCCUUAGCUUCCCUUUGGAUCUGGAAAGCUGGGGACCCACACGGCAGAGCCAUGGUACUGGAGGAGCCAUUAACAACGAGGCUCCUUCUGUAAGGUUGCCUGGAUACUGCAUCUGGCUGACAGAGUCCCCAGACAGAACUUGAAUAGGCACUGCCAGGGUGUGUACUUCUAUGACUCUCCUUUUGCAAUGGGCCCACACCACCCACCUCAUUUUUCUAAUAAGAGCUUUCAAUAAACCUCUCUUUCUUGAAGUUACCUGAGAAUGGAUCCAUUCCCUGCAACUGAAGAUUCUAAGGAACUGGGUUUCUCAGUAUACAAUGGGAAUGGUUGGGAGGAGGUAAAGAGUAGAAGACAGUAUCAAGAAUCCAGAGCCCAGCACCUGUAGUCCUAACUAUUCAGAUUCCUUGAGCCCAGGAGUUUGAGUCCAGCCUGGACAACAUAUUGAGACCCCCAUCUCUCUAAAAAAAAAGAGAAAGAAAGAAGGAAAGAAAAAAAGAAAGAAAGAAAGAAAGAAAGAAAGAAAGAAAGAAAGAAAGAAAGAGAAAGAAAGAAGGAAAGAAGGAAAGAAGGAAAGAAAGAAAGAAAGAGAAAGAAAGAAAAGAAGAUUGUAGCUAGGGGGAGAGUAGGUGAAAAGAUGAACAACAUGACCGGGAAGAUUUCCUAAUCUCACCACAGCCUGGCUCUACCUUAAG
rnacentral:lncRNA from 1 species